rnacentral:rRNA from 1 species
UGGGGGAUAUUGCACAAUGGGCGAAAGCCUGAUGCAGCGACGCCGCGUGGGGGAUGAAGGCCUUCGGGUUGUAAACUUCUUUUGCUCUGAACAAGGCAUGCCUUUGGGGUGUGUUGAGUGUAGGGGUUGAUUAGCGCCGGCUAACUACGUGCCAGCAGCCGCGGUAAUACGUAGGGCGCGAGCGUUGUCCGGAAUUAUUGGGCGUAAAGGGCUUGUAGGUGGCUGGUUGCGUCUGUCGUGAAAGCUCAUGGCUUAACUGUGGGUUUGCGGUGGGUACGGGCUGGCUUGAGUGCAGUAGGGGAGGCUGGAAUUCCUGGUGUAGCGGUGGAAUGCGCAGAUAUCAGGAGGAAUACCGGUGGCGAAGGCGGGUCUCUGGGCUGUUACUGACGCUGAGGAGCGAAAGCGUGGGGAGCGAACAGGA